UACGUAGGGUGCAAGCGUUGUCCGGAAUUAUUGGGCGUAAAGAGCUCGUAGGCGGUUCGUCGCGUCGGCUGUGAAAACCUGAGGCUCAACCUCAGGCCUGCAGUCGAUACGGGCGGACUUGAGUACUGCAGGGGAGACUGGAAUUCCUGGUGUAGCGGUGAAAUGCGCAGAUAUCAGGAGGAACACCGGUGGCGAAGGCGGGUCUCUGGGCAGUAACUGACGCUGAGGCACGAAGGCCAGGGGAGCAAACGGG
rnacentral:rRNA from 1 species